GAAAGAGGCCACGGGUGAAGACAUUUAGCCACCCCCUGAAGUACAUGGCAGCAUCCAACCCUCUUGGUGAGCUGCAGGAAUGUGUUCCCCAUUGCAGUGCACCAGCUCCAUGUACUGAUUUUGGGUGUGAACUUGAUGGGGUUGUAGGAAACUCGACUCGGCCAUCAAGCUCACCACAAUAUAACAUAAAAAGUGAAAAUUGCUGCACACAACAGUCUGUCGUCUGCACCGGGAGGCAAGGCAGCUCAAAGCCCAGGCUGUUACAACUCCUGGGCAGUUUUUGCCCAGAGCCAGCAGUUUUUUACAUCCAGUAGGGAUGGAUUUUUUCUGAGGUCAGGUUCAACAUGCUGCAAGAUGCCAAGAUCUAAGCCUAGUAGGAGAUAUGGGUUACAAGAGAGGAGGUUUGCUCUGGCCUUAUACUAUCAAAGUCCAAAUGCUAAUAGAUUUAUAAGCACAGUAUUUCACUUGCCUUCAGUUUCAACACUUCACUCAUGACUCAGGGGUAUUUCAGUACAUGUUGGCUGGAGCAAACAGACUCUGACAGCCCUGCAGCAAAGAGCACAGGCUUUGUCAAAAAAAGAGAAACUUCGUGGGAUUUGCCAUUAUUUAGUAUUUCUCUUGUUACGCUAAUAAUUUUUUUCCAUAUACUUUGCCAAAUAUUGCAAGUAAUGCACCAUUGUUGGUCUUGCCUGUUAUAAAUCAGAUCUUGUUCAAUUAAGAAGCUUUGGGUGUCUGCCACUUUCCAGUUGUAAUGCAAGGAUUCAUUUAUCUUCCCUGCCAGAUAUCACAUGUAAUGCACCAUUGUUGGUUUUGCCUGUUAUAAAUCAGAUCUUGUUCAGUUAACAAGCUUUAGGUGUCUGCCACUUUCCAAUUGUAAUGCAAGGAAUCCCCUGCCAGAUAUCGCAUGUAAUGCACCAUUGUUGGUCUUGCCUGUUAUAAAUCAGAUAUUGUUCAGCUCACAAGC